UCCCCGAGCAACUUCUGCAGGCCAUUAUUGAAUCACUAGCUCUGGUUGGAACUGUUAAAUGUUACAACAUCCAGAAGCAGAUCACUUAGAUUGUAUUUGAGGUUGAUACACCAGCAGAAAUUUAGAACUAUGAGGUCUUGGUAAGGCCUGUCCAAGGAUUAAUGAUGGUAGUUGGUACACAGAUUCUCAAGGACAAAGGUCGAAAUCAGAGAUAACACUUUUAUCGUCAUACAGAACAUAGAUAUACAUAGUGCAUCAUCGAAGAUUCGCAGGGAAGGAUUCAAAAUUUUGACAUAACGGAAAUUCUUGACGCGAAGGCGGCAAAUAGAUCUGUAUAACACACAGAUUAUGUGGACUCUAUCCUACGAUGUGUGAGUUAAGAAACUGCAGUUCUAGCAAAGCCAAAGGCAUAAUUUGUUGCUUGACUCAUGAUCAGCAAGUGCCACAUUUCUUAGUAGAAUACAG
rnacentral:misc_RNA from 1 species